AAGUGAGUUAAUAUGAAAUGCAUAGCUUUUGAAGAAGAUUAAUAAAUAGACACACAUAUGCUACCACUCAGGUUAAAAAAUAGACCAUUACCAAUACUUUCAAAUAUUUUUAUGUGCUCCACCUACCACAACCUUCCUUUUCCACACAGAGUUAGCCACAGUUCUAAAUAUUUCUUUUUACUAUCUCUGUGACUUUCCUUAUGUUUUUACUACCUGCAUAUUUAUCCUUAAGCAAUCUAUGGUUUAGUUUUAUUUAUUUUACAUACCAUACUGUCAUUGUUAUCUUGUGACUCACUUUUUAAAAAAUUAACAUUAUAUUUUUUAGAUUUAUUCCUGUUCAUGGACUGGACAUAGUUAACUCAUUUUCAUUGCUGAAUAGUAUUUCAGUCUAUGAGUAUCUAUAACUAACCCAUUAUCCUAUAAGUAGACUUUGGAAUAUAUAUGGAUUUUACUGUUUUUUUUUUCUUUUAUAAACCAUAGUACUAUAAAUAUAUGCUUAUAAGAGCACAUGUGCAAGGUUUUCUUAAUAACAAAUGCCAGGGGUCAUAGGCAUACACAUUUUAAACUUUGCUGUGUAACAUCAAAUUGAUUUCUAGAGUAGUAUGUAGCUGUCUGCUCCACAUCCUCAUCAACUUUUGCCAUUGUCAUAUUUAUUUUUAAAUUUGUUACCAAUCCCCUGGAUAUAAAAUACUAUUUCACUGGAGGUUUAAUUUACAUUUCCUUGUCUACAAGGGAGGCUAAGGAUCUUUUCCUAUGUUCAUUGGCCACUAAUAUUUUCCCUUGGUAAAAUAUCUUUUUUAUAAACAAAGAAUGAACACAUUUUUUUCUAUUGUGCUUUUUUUUUCUGUUGAUUAGUAGACAUUCCUUAUAUAAUUUGGCACCUAAUUUUUGUGAGUUUUAUGUGUUGCAAAUAUCUUCUUGUAUUUGGAUUAUUUUCCCAUUUUAUUUUAUAAUAGUUUUAGAAGUUGGCAAUCUGUCUUUUCCUAUAAUUUAUAUGUUUUAUGUCUUAAGAAUCCUUUUAUAACAUUAUAUUGUGCUAUAACUUUACUGGAAAUAUUUUAAAGUUUAAUCUCUUACAUUUAAACCAUUAGUCCACAUGGAAUUGAUUUUUUGUGUAUGUGUGAAAGAAGGACCUACUUUAUUCCAGUUUCAUUUAUUGACUAACUUACUCUUUCUUCACAGAUCUAUAAUUCUGUCUCUCUAAUAAGUUUCCACAUAUGUGCAGGGGGAUGUUAAGUCCUGGGCUGUAUAUUCUGUUCCACUGGUUUGUUUGUCUAUCUCUGCACCAUGAACACCCUUUCUUAAUGAAUAUAAAUGUAUGCUCUGCACUUAUAUUAGGUAAGGUAAAUACCUUUCAUUUUUGUCAUCUUCAGAAUUAUCUUGACUCUUAAUGCACCAUUGCUCUUCUAUUAAGAUUUUAGAAUUGGCUUACUAACUUUAAAAAAAAGAUCCCUAUUGGUAUUUAUUUUGGAGUUGUAUUUAAAGCUCAAUUUUGUAUAAAAUGCUAUUUUAAUUAAGAUGAUUCUUUUAAUCUUUCUUCUCAACAUAAAAGGAUCUUGGCACAUGUUCAUUUAGAUAGUUGUUGUCCUGACUUAAAUAUGCUAUCGAUGUUCAGUAUUUUAGUUUUCUUUUUAGGCUCAUAAAUUGACAAUAUUAUGAUUUUUUUGCAUAAAGGUAGUUUGUUUAGAUUCACCCUUAUGAUUGCCAUUUGUUUGGCUUACCACUACUUCUUACAUUUUGACCUUUUAUUUUGAGAUUAUUAUUUUUUUCUCCCGAAGUACGUAUUUUGGAAGUAUCUUUAGUGGAGUCCUUGAUAAUGAAACUCUUAUUUUUUAAUUGAGGUUCCCUUACCUGAAAUAUAGUUUAAUUAGAUAUAGAAUUUUACAUUGAAAUUUAUUUUAUUUUUGGCAUCUUAAAGAUAUUAUUCUACUUGCUUUUUGUUUACAGUAUUGCUGGUAAAUAAAGAGUUGUCAGUGUAAUAGUCAUUUUAGGAGAUAAUCUGCCCUUUUCCUUCAUUUGGGAUUUUUUUCUUGGUCUUUGAUUAUCUGCUGUUUCUCUACUACGAGACUAGGCAUGGAUUUCUUUUUAUUUGUCUUCCUUGAGAGUCAUUGUUUCCUAGAUUCCAACCUUUAUUCAAUUACUGGAAUUUCUCAGCUGUCAUUUCUUCGAAAUAUUUUAUUUUUUUCAUUCUUUAUAUUAUGUCUGUACAAAACUCUGAUUGGACAUAAAAUAGACAUUCAUUUAUAACAUAAAUAUUUUUGAGUACCUACUAUGUACUGGGUACUUUUUGUCUCCAGAGAUAUAUUAGUAAACAAAACAGACAAAAAUUCCUAUUACCAUGAUACUUACAUUAAAAGGUGCAGAAUACUAGAAGAAGGUGAUAAUAGCUGCAGAGUAAGAGAGACCAAAAGACCAAAAUGCUAGCAUGGGGGCAGGGAUUACUUCUAUCUUCCUUUUUAAAUUUAAAUAUCAAAAGUUUUUUCAGCUGUGCUUUAAGUGGCAGGUUUUCUUGACCUCAUAUAAGCUUGAUUGCCUCUUCUUAACUUCCAUUGUAUGUAGUAUUAUAUACAGAAGUGAAAGUAACUUUCCCGAUUUGGUCUUACAGAACAGAGUACAGUGUCCUUAAAUUUCUCUUAAGUAGAUUCUAUAUUUCUGUUCGUGUAGGCUGUUUGUAUCAGCUUCUUUGUUUAUAAUUAUUUACCAAAUUGAAAAGGACUUUAAUAUUUUUCAGCUUUAAAAUAGAGAUGCCAAAUUACAUGAUCUCCAAGGCCUCUUCUCAUUUUCAAAAUACUAUCACAUGCUGAGAGAAUCAAAUCCAGCAUUUUUGAGGUCAGAAUAUCAUACAACUGAAGAUAUUGACCAGUGGAAUAAGGUAAUUGAACAACUAGGAACACCAUGUCCAGAAUUCAUGAAGAAAUUGCAACCCACAGUAAGAAACUAUGUGGAGAAUCGGCCCAAGUAUGC
rnacentral:sRNA from 1 species